AUUGAAGAGCCAAAGAAUGUUAUAUUGGAUUAUAGAGAAAAGAUUGAGAAACCGAACGUUGCAAGAAACAUGGAUUACAUGUUAAAUCAAGUGUAAUAAUUGAGCUUCCAAAAGGCUGGGAACCUGGCAUUCAAUAGGGAGCAGAUGUUUGGGAUGAGAAAUGGGAUAAGUUUGAAGAUGAAGGAUUUGUGAAUGACCUCACAAUUGAUGUGAAAAAUGCACCUGUUAGUCCAUCUCAAUCAGCUUCUGUUCAGAGGGAAAUGCUUUCCCCCAAUGGUUCCCUUGAGAGUGAAUCAAUAUUCUCCCACAAGGAAGAUGAAUAUGCAAGAAGCUCUCAUUUCAGUCCAAGCUGGAACAACUGCUGUACAAAGUCCACCUCAAGAAUUUUCAGACGUUCAUUAUGGUAAAGGUUCAGAAGCAGAUGCAGAAACUCAUAGAAAAGUGGAUGUACAGUGUGAUGCAAUUGCCUCUUGAGGGACACUGUUAAGCACUCUAUGAUGACAUUGGUUUUUAUAGUGCUGUGUCAUUGUUGUAAAUAUUUUCAGACUAUUUUAUAGAUUCAUAAUGUCAAUUCUCGUUUCGUGUAACUCUCAUGUCAUCCUUCUUCUUCAGGAUUUUAAAUCUGAGAAGCACAUAGAUUUCUUUGGUUAGAACGGGAUCUCCUCAUGCAUAUGGCACCUUUCAGAGAAGAAGCUCCUCUACUUUUGAUGAUUCUGUUCUAGCACUCCACUUUCUAGGUUUGGCAACUUACCACAAGGUACAGCGAGGCAUGGGAUCACUACUUGGACUAUUUCUCAAAGUUUGAUUCCUUCCGCACGCAUGAUGCUGGAUUUUCUUCCCAGCUUGAGAGGCUCACACGAUUCGACUCCAUAAAUUGCUCAAAAGACUUAGGCCACAAUUCCCUAUUGAGGUUCGACUCCAUGUGCAACUCAGUGAUUUUGGUCAGAAUUGCGAGACUCCAUGUGCAACUCAGUGAUUUUGGUCAGAAUUGCGAGAGGUUGUUGAGGUUUGACUCCUUAAACAACACAAAAGACUUUGGUGCGGCCUCAAGCACCUUCAGUGGAUGUGCCUUCUCAUUCAACGUCCGUCCAUUGAAGGUGUCGUCUCCUAAGAAAUGUUAUGAUUAUUGGAAUGCAUAUUCUAGUUGGUGAAUUUAUGUUAUUGCAUUUCCAGAUUUUGGGUGGUAGCAUUAGGGGAUUGAUAAAUCACGGGGUAGCUAUUAUUAUGAUUUGUGUGUAAAAGCAACACAUUAGUAGCCACAUGUACAACCAUGUAGUACUACGGAUGACACUGCAGUAUGAGUCAUUUGCUCUAGAAUAUUCAGCUCAAACAAAUUCUUGUUGCAUAGAACAGUGUGAGGCAAUACGUGUAUAGUGUUUAUUGGACCAUUUUGUAUUUUGUAAAUACCCCAAUUGAAUUAUAUAUGCUAUAGCUGCAAUCUUCAUUUCA